CCCAGUGUGGUAUAGUGGUUUGAGCGUUGGACUGUGAUUCUGAAGACCAGGGUUUGAAUCCUGGCUCGGACA
rnacentral:tRNA from 1 species